rnacentral:rRNA from 1 species
GACGAACGCUGGCGGCGUGCUUAACACAUGCAAGUCGAGCGGUAAGGCCCUUUCGGGGGUACGACGAGCGGCGAACGGGUGAGUAACACGUGGGUGACCUGCCCUUAGCUCUGGGAUAAGCCUGGGAAACUGGGUCUAAUACCGGAUAUGACUCCAUGACGCAUGUUGUGGGGUGGAAAGCCUUGUGCGGCUAGGGAUGGGCCCGCGGCCUAUCAGCUUGUUGGUGGGGUGAUGGCCUACCAAGGCGACGACGGGUAGCCGGCCUGAGAGGGUGACCGGCCACACUGGGACUGAGACACGGCCCAGACUCCUACGGGAGGCAGCAGUGGGGAAUAUUGCACAAUGGGCGAAAGCCUGAUGCAGCGACGCCGCGUGAGGGAUGACGGCC